rnacentral:lncRNA from 1 species
CUUCACCAUCUCACCCUAUCUUGCCCUACCCUAACCCCACCCCACCACAACCAUCGCUGCCACAAACCACCACGUCGCCACGCUGUACCUAACCCCAAUCCACUAUAACCACCACCUCUGCCGCUCAUACACCAUACCUUAAAUCACCGCCACACCAUCACUCCCUGCACCACCGCCUAUAGAAUCACCACCUCACCAUCACAUCAAUAGCUUCGCUUACAUGCCUUACUGCCAUGAAAUAAACACAAAUCCAAUAGCUAUCUCCAUGUAGUGCCACCACCAUCAACACUAGUCCGCCUUCAAACAUCAUCCCCCUCGCGCCUUGCUGCCAUGAAAUAAACACAAAUCCCGUAGCUACCUCUGUGCGGCGCCACCACCAUCAACACCAAUCCGCCUUCAAACACCAUCCCCCGCGCGCCUUGCUGCCAUGAAAUAAACACAAAUCCCAUAGCUACCUCCGUGCGGCGCCACCACCAUCAACACCAAUCCGCCUUCAAACACCACUGCCCGCGCGCUUUGCUGCUUGCACUGUGUCAUCACUGCAGAUUCGGGUUGCUAUAGCAACAACGACGGCGACAGCGACGAUUUGAGAGUAGAGAGAUGGAUGGUGAAGACUGAGAGAAAAAAGGAGAGGAGAGGACGACGGUGCACAAUGCUGAAGAGAGAAUGAAGAGGAGCAAGGAGAGAGAAACUUCAAUGUAGGGUUUGAAUGGAGGGAAAUAUAUGGUAGGAUGUAUUUAUCUAGAUUAAUUUAUAAUAUUUAAAUUAUCUGAUUUUUGUAUAAAUAAACAUUACAUCUUGUUUUAGAAUUUAGAUCUUUUAAAGUAGGC